rnacentral:rRNA from 1 species
UUCCGGUUGAUCCUGCCGGACCCUACUGCUAUCGGAGUGAGACUAAGCCAUGCGAGUCGUGCGCUUCCAAGCUAUGUUGGAAGCGCGGCUUACGGCUCCGUAACACGUGGCCAACCUACCCUCAGGAUGGAGAUAAUCCCGGGAAACUGGGGCUAAUAUCCAAUGGGCGGAAGCGCCGGAAUGGUCUUCCGCUGAAAGGGUGCAGAAACAAGCUUCUAACACUCGCCUGAGGAUGGGGCCGCGUCCGAUCAGGUUGUUGGUGGGGUAACGGCUCACCAAGCCUAUAACCGGUACGGGCCCUGAGAGGGGGAGCCCGGAGAUGGGAACUGAGACAAGGUCCCAGGCCUUACGGGGCGCAGCAGGCGCGAAAACUCCGCAAUGCGCGAAAGCGUGACGGGGUCACUCCGAGUGCCGUCCGCUGAGGAUGGCUUUUCCUCGGUGUAAGGAGCCGAGGGAAUAAGAGGGGGGCAAGACUGGUGUCAGCCGCCGCGGUAAUACCAGCUCCUCGAGUGGUAGGGACGAUUAUUUGGCCUAAAGCGUUCGUAGCCGGCUUAGCAAGUCUCCCGUUAAAUCCGGCGACUUAAUCGCCGGACCGCGGGAGAUACUUCUAAGCUAGGGGACGGGAGAGGUCGACGGUAUUCCCGGGGUAGGGGCGAAAUCCUAUAAUCCCGGGAGGACCACCGGUGGCGAAGGCGGUCGACCAGAACGUGCCUGACGGUGAGGGACGAAAGCUGGGGGAGCAAACCGGAUUAGAUACCCGGGUAGUCCCAGCCGUAAACGAUGCGGGCUAGGUGUUGGAACGGCUACGAGCCGUUCCGGUGCCGCAGGGAAGCCGUUAAGCCCGCCGCCUGGGGAGUACGGCCGCAAGGCUGAAACUUAAAGGAAUUGGCGGGGGAGCACCACAAGGGGUGAAGCCUGCGGUUUAAUUGGAUUCAACGCCGGG